rnacentral:misc_RNA from 1 species
AUCUUUUUUUUAUUCAUUUAUGAAUAUGAAAAUUUUUUCUUUUAUAAAGAGUGGGGGGGUUUUAAAUAUAUUCGCAAAACCUCGCUUUCGCUCGGUUUGCUUAAAAAAAUCAUUAAUGAUCCUUCCGCAGGUUCACCUACGGAAA